GUUAAAGGUAACGCGCAGCUGGUGGAUGUAGUUCAGUUCAUGGGUCUGAAUGCUGACGAAAAUUGUGCAUUUCCAGGUCACUGGAUUUGUGUCGUGAGACCGCUGCAUGUAGAAGCGGGUUGUUCAUUCACGGCAUCAAAAGCUCGUUGUGUGGUGAGUCGUUUUGCGCAUUCAGCCUCGAAGUGUACGCUCGAAUCGGCAACGGUCUGAGAAACAUUUUGAGCUAUGGGUGGACUCCAAAAUCAGGCCAAGCAAAGUGUUUCUCUUCAAACGGGCAUGCUGAGGCGCCAUCACGAGCCUUCAUAGGAGAGCCUCAAGUCGGGUACCGCGAGUAGAAGCCAUGGAGAUUUAGCGCGUUAUUUUGGCUCUAGUCAGUGACGUGGAUUGAAUGAAACAGCGCUUUCGUUCAACAAUUCCCAUGAAAAACAGCUCCCAGUGGAAACAUAUAGAUCGCGCUUUAGCUCUGGAGUACUGGUGAAACGCGCGGUACCAUGGCUAGCUGCAGGCGCGAAUCGAAUCCUCUGUCGACCGGACGCUGGUUAUUUUCAUCAAAAGUCUGCAGCGUUUCAGGAAAUGAUCCAUAUGGAGCACUCAACGACUCAUCGGGAUGUUCGUUCGUCCGUUCGUUCGCUCGAGCCAAUACCGCUGAACGCUCCGGAAGCAUGGGACAUACCCGAAUGGUCAUCGAGGCGAUCGAGUCGCGGUCUACAAACUGCCUGCGCCCAUUGUUGGCAGUAGAAUCACACCAGAGUAUGCUUCUCAUUUUCGAUUACCUCGCCAUCGGUCGUGAAGUCAGCUUACCGUACACAAUCCCGUGCAUCUGACUCCGCCUCACGCUCUUCUUCUCUAACAGUUUUUGUUUGCGCCCGAGCUCGUGAUGCGUUCACGUCGUCCUGAACAUAUCCAUGGGUGUGGUUUCAGAAUCGAUUCAUGGUUUAUCAUAUGCUGUCGUUCAAGAAGCAGGCGUGCAGCCUUUUUGCGCCACAGCACGUCCAGCGCCAUUGGCUACCAUCAAGCGACGUUACGCAUCGGUCAUUUGCGUUCCCAGCUCUUGGAUCGAGCAGUCGAAUGGACGCUUCCUGCCUCCGCACAACCGAAGCGGUAGACGAUGCUUGUGCGAUCCGAGGAACUGCCACAGGUCGUCUGCACAAGCCAUUUGGACGAUGACGUACGCUCCCUUCAUGAAGCGUGCCGCGCGUGUCGCUUUGCUCGAAAAGGUGCUCAGGGCGUCGAAGUCGAACUCCAAGUCGCGACGCCGACCUUUCAUUUGUUAGGGCGCUUCCUGCCGUCGAUGAAGCCCUGCUCUCGAUCAUGUAGAGCGCUGGAAAUGCUGAGCAGCAGCAGCAGCAGCAGCAUCUGCUUCCUGUUCCUGCCUUUCGUGUCGUUCUCUAGAAUAGGAGUUGCGGCGACGGUCAUGGUGUCGUUCAACUCGAUUUGGAUGUCCACCACAAACUCCCUCUGGUCACGCAUGUUGAGCGGGUGAAAAAGAGUCUUGUUUGUCGACUAAAGCC